rnacentral:rRNA from 1 species
GGUUUAAUUCGAUGAUACGCGAGGAACCUUACCCGGGCUUGAAUUGCAGAGGAAGGAUUUGGAGACAAUGACGCCCUUCGGGGUCUCUGUGAAGGUGCUGCAUGGUUGUCGUCAGCUCGUGCCGUGAGGUGUCGGCUUAAAGUGCCAUAACGAGCGCAACCCCUCUCCUUAGUUGCCAUCAGGUCAAGCUGGGCACUCUGGGGACACUGCCACCGUAAGGUGUGA